rnacentral:rRNA from 1 species
UACGUAGGGUGCAAGCGUUGUCCGGAAUUAUUGGGCGUAAAGGGCUCGUAGGCGGCCAACUAAGUCAGACGUGAAAUCCCUCGGCUUAACCGGGGAACUGCGUCUGAUACUGGAUGGCUUGAGUUUGGGAGAGGGAUGCGGAAUUCCAGGUGUAGCGGUGAAAUGCGUAGAUAUCUGGAGGAACACCGGUGGCGAAGGCGGCAUCCUGGACCGGCAUUGACGCUGAGGCGCGAAAGCCAGGGGAGCAAACGGG